GUAGGGAAUAUUGGACAAUGGGGGGAACCCUGAUCCAGCCAUGCCGCGUGGAGGAAGACUGCCCUCUGGGUUGUAAACUCCUUUUAUAUGGGAAGAACCGUCCUCAUUAAUGAGUGACCUGACGGUACCAUAGGAAUAAGCACCGGCUAACUCCGUGCCAGCAGCCGCGGUAAUACGGAGGGUGCAAGCGUUAUCCGGAUUCACUGGGUUUAAAGGGUGCGUAGGCGGAUAAAUAAGUCAGUGGUGAAAUCAACGGGCUCAAACUGUUAACUGCCAUGGAUACUGUGUAUCUUGAAUAUGAGAGAGGGAGGCGGAAUGUUGCAUGUAGCGGUGAAAUGCUUAGAUAUGCUACGGAACACCGAUUGCGAAGGCAGCUUACUAUUUCGUAAUUGACGCUGAGGCACGAAAGCGUGGGUAGCGAACAGGAUUAGAAACCCUAGUAGUCC
rnacentral:rRNA from 1 species